GUCAAAUCUCAUAUCUUAAACUCUUUCCUUCAAAAUUUUGGUUCUAUUGACGUCAGAGAUAUCUUCCAUGUCACUCUCCAUGAAGAAGGAGAACUUCUCCAAAAUGUAGAAAAAAUUAAUUUCUGUCUUUUUGAAUUGUUACUCUGUCAGUAUUUGUCAAUAGAGUCUCGUUUGAUAUAUGGGAUGGAACACUUCUGUUUUGAAUGAGGGCUUCCUAAACAUUGCAUCAAAUUUGGGAACUGUUCAAUAAUUUUGGUAAUUUGAACACCUUAAUACAUAUACAAAUUUCUCCCAAAAAAGGUAUGGUGUACACAAUCCUUGGUUGAGAACAACAAAAAAAAUGUCAUUCUUUGCUGAAUCAGUGAGUCUAAAAUUUUCUCUCAAAAUCAUUAAUACUGAGAAACAAUUCAAUAGUCCUAUAACUUAGUCCCCAUCCCUGGGUUUAUUAAUGCCAGGUGCUGAAGUCCCUUGGCAGUGCCUCUGGCACCUGAACCUUAUCUCUUGGUAUGGAUCUCACUGCAUGCUUGUCCACCUCACAGGCUAAGGGACACAGAAAGUCCUGAUCAGAACAUUGUUUUCCUGGGGUGAAGGCUGUUUCUCUUCUCUGGAAGUUUCUUCUAAGGCUGAGAGUCCUCAAAGACAAUGAAAUUACUAUUCCAACAAUCCGUCAGGAGCCUUUUCCUUCCUGAUGUUUGGAAUCCUGACCUUGGGGCACCUCAUGCCUGCCUUACUCACACAAGGGCACCAGGUUCUUCAGAAGGGAGCCUGUUGAGAAAUAGGUCUGGUGUGAGAAGGGCAGGAACUGAUUAUCACCCUCUUCCCUCCCAGGUGGUCCCUGUUUCUAAGACAUCUGCCACCAUGCUGCCCUUGUUCAACUGCAGAAAGAUGGAGUCCUAGUGCUUUUGAACCUGGGACCACAAGGAGGAGCUGUGACUCUGUUGAGAUCCAGGAAACUCUGAGCAAGGACUAAGAGAAGGCUCUGGAUGAGAGAGAGUUAAGAGGAAGUUUGGGUUUCUACAUCUGGGGAAAUGUGCUCUGCAGGAGCUGAGGUCAGUGCUGUGGUGUGGGCUGUUACACACCAGGCUACGCCCUUUGCACUGAUGUGCAGGUGUUGCUGUCCCUGGAACGUCAGAUUGUUGCAUAUGAGCUGCCUGAGAGGAGAGUUUGAGCUGAAGAGGUUGGGAGACUUAGGCAGGUGCAGGUGGGGGACCUGUUUCUAAGGGAGAUAAGAGAGGAUCUGGGGUCUGUCUCAGCUCAGCUCAGUCAUGGCAAAACAAACCUCGUGGUGAUGUCAGCUCCUGGCACUAGCAAUGAUCUUGAUAGUCUAAGGUUCUUAGGGAGCCUGCAGAGAUAAUAAUAACUGGAGGAAAUCUAUUCAUCAGGCCUAAGGAUACAUAUAACCUCCCUCUUCCUUCCCGACUAUCAGGGAAUUAAACUAGAAAAGUCUUUACUCUUCUACCUCUGAUGGAUAGUCAUAUGUGAUCUCAAAGAGAACUGUUCAAACAGGUGUUGUUUCUAGAAUGGAAGAUUUUGCAUAUAAACAUAACAGCACACAAGCUGUUCCCAAACUUUGGCAAAUGACCAAAUUAUAAGAAGGGUUUUUAAAUGUUGGAAAGACACAAUCAUGACAAUGUGCCUCUGUGUGACAUUCAGUCCACUUCUCAUUAGUUCUAGUUCUCUUGAUUUCUGCCUCAUUCCCACUGGUCCUAAGCUCUCCACCUUUUGGAAGACUAAACUUUGUCCUUGCUACAUUAUUUCAUGUUUCUUUCCUUGUUUGCUUUGUCAAUUGAGGUAUGGCUCUUGUCAGGGGUCCCUGCAUCGGUCCUGACUCCUGUUCUGUACAGGAAUCCCCUUCUCCAGUUCAGCCAUCUCAAUCAGAAAAAAAGGUGCAAGGAAUCAUUUAUUUGCUUUCUUGCAUACUAUGGGCUGUUCUUGAUAGAUAAUAAAAAUUAUGUUCUCUAAUUUUUAGUUAGACAUUAAUUUCUAGUAUUAUAUACUUUUAAAUUAUUUAAAACAAUAAUCAGAACUGGCAUUACCUCAUGUGCAAUGAGUUUCUUAAUAACAGUUUUAUUUUAGCUUCUUUUCUAGAGACUGUCCACCCAAUUUGGUCAUGAACAUUUGCAUAAAAUAGCAAGAUAAGUGAUUAUUUGAAACCUAUACUUUAAGAAUGGUUGCUUCUUUAUAUGGCUAUAAGUUCCAUCUUAAUAUUGACUCUUGUCAAUAAAGUGAUCUCUUCUCUCACUCCUUUCAUUCCUUUCUUACUCUCUCAGUCCUUCCUGCUUCCCUUCUCUCCUUUUUGGAAAGUCUUCACUUGUACUCUGUGUGGUGCAUGAUGGUAGGUGCUGGGGACGCUGGAAGAAUAAGCCUGUACCUACGUGUGCACCUGGUAAUGUCCAUAGUUUUGGAGCUGGACAGAGUGUUGAAAAUUAUUGCUUUGGGACCAUUGCUUUAUAGAUGAGAAGAAGGAAUACAGUAUAAAAUAUUUAAAUGUAAAUACUGGGUUAUAUUUCUGACUUUCAUGUAACAUGUACUUUAUAUCCCACAGGUAAUCUGUGCAUUUCUUUUUGCUCCUGUUAUAGUAUAAACAUCCCAAGAGUGAAAACAUUGUCCUCCCCAUGACUUGUACAAAUAAAAUAUGCUGAAAAUUUCCAAAAGGGG
rnacentral:lncRNA from 1 species